UGAAACCGUUUAGGGGUAAACCUGAGAAACCCGAAAGGUCGAAGGAAGAAAUUCAUUCGCGUCUCGAGAUGGAAGUCGAACGAUCGAGUGACGAAAAUGUUGUUUUGCGACAUUUUUUGCUCUCUUCGUUCGUCGAAUCUGUCGCGAACGCGUGCACUUUUCUUCUGGUAGGACGUCGCGAUUCGUCGGGUGUCGGUCUAAGACUCCAACGGUGGAGACCGUUCGUUAUUUUUCUCGAAACGACGAACGGACCCGUAUGUGUUCCGACCGACUCGCUCGACGGUAUACGAAUGGUUCGAGGUCGCUCUCUUCGUAGCGUCCGACUCGUCGCAAGCGCGUCGUAUGUCGUCGGUGAUCGGACCUAGUGCCGAUUCCGACCUCCGAUGACUGUUGGCGACGAAGUUCUCGGACAGACCUCGAAGUUUACUUUUACGAGACCGAUCGGCGACGCUAUAGCUUUGGGUACUUUCAGGACCCGUCUUGAAACACGGACCAAGGAGUCUAGCAUGUACGCGAGUCAUUGGGAAUCAUUAAACCUAAAGGCGUAAUGAAAGUGAAGGUUUUCCUCGCGAAGACCAAGGGAAGACGAGCGGUUAAAUUCGCCCUUAAAAGCGAUCGCUUCGCAUUCCCGGGGCGUCUCGUUCUCAAUCAUAUAUUAUAUAUGAUGCGAGAAGAGGCGCACCAAGAGCGUACACGCUGGGACCCGAAAGAUGGUGAACUAUGCCUGGUCAGGACGAA
rnacentral:rRNA from 1 species